rnacentral:rRNA from 1 species
GACAGAGGGUGCAAACGUUGUUCGGAAUUACUGGGCGUAAAGCGUGUGUAGGCGGUCUACUAAGUCGGGUGUGAAAGCCCUGGGCUCAACCCAGGAAGUGCACUCGAAACUGGCAGGCUAGAGUACUGGAGAGGUUGGUGGAAUUCUCGGUGUAGAGGUGAAAUUCGUGGAUAUCGAGAGGAACACCGGUGGCGAAGGCGGCCAACUGGACAGAUACUGACGCUGAGACACGAAAGCGUGGGGAGCAAACAGG